AACGAACGCUGGCGGCAUGCCUAACACAUGCAAGUCGAACGAAGCCUUCGGGCUUAGUGGCGCACGGGUGCGUAACACGUGGGAAUCUGCCCUUCGGUUCGGAAUAACAGUUAGAAAUGACUGCUAAUACCGGAUGAUGACGUAAGUCCAAAGAUUUAUCGCCGAAGGAUGAGCCCGCGUAGGAUUAGGUAGUUGGUAGGGUAAUGGCCUACCAAGCCGACGAUCCUUAGCUGGUCUGAGAGGAUGAUCAGCCACACUGGGACUGAGACACGGCCCAGACUCCUACGGGAGGCAGCAGUGGGGAAUAUUGGACAAUGGGCGAAAGCCUGAUCCAGCAAUGCCGCGUGAGUGAAGAAGGCC
rnacentral:rRNA from 1 species